GAUUAAAUUCAAAUUUUAGUAAUUCGAAAGAUCAAUUCGGUCCAGGAAAUUUGUUUUUGGGAAACAGGAUCUGCGAGAUCGAUCGCUGAGUUCGCCGUUUUCGAAUUUAGAAUCGUGCAAUUUCUUAUUGGAAUUUUCUAGAUAAAUGGGUGAACUUUGGUAUAGGAUCAUCGUUAAGUGAUCUUUGAAACGAACAUGCUUUCUGAAAGAAAUUUUCUUUUCGGUCGAACGUAGAGUGUUUUACGGAACACGUUUGAUGGAACGAGGAAAAUUUUCGUUCUUAUUUUUAUACACGAAAGCUUCUAACGGUAUGGCAAUUAAUGGUCACCGCGAUGCUAACUGUCUUCAUAGAUAUAUUAUCGAAGUUUCUUUUAGGAAAUUCGAAAGUUUGCGCCAAGAAGCUCCUACUAUUCGCUAGAAAAUGUGCAACUCUGGAACGGUGGAAGUUGAGUCAAUUCUGUCGCAAGACAAUAUUCUAUAUGUACAUUUUUGUGCUACAUUUCGCAGCUGUAUUUUACAAAAUAAAAGCUAGAUAUUCGACAGUUGUGGUAAAGAUGAUUCAACAUUUAUUAAACGACGAUGGAAAGAAGAAUUUCUUUUUAAACGAAAUUAUUCGAAGAAAAAAAGAAUGUGUACUAAAGUGCGGAGAAUUUAAUAUCUCAAAGCAAUUGAAACACUCGAGAUUCCUAACGGUGACUUAACUCGCUAUUAAGUCAACAGUCCGCCACUAUAUUAGCAUUCGUUUGCAAGCUCUUUAUUGCACUUACGAAACAGAUGAGAGAUCACAAGAGCAAAGACCUUGCCGCAAGACAUAAAGUAGCUCGCGAUUAAUUAGACUUUGACCCUCUGAGGUCGAGAUCUUUCACAGUUUGUUUGUUUCUAAGAAAAACUACCUUUUAAUUAAUUCUGUUAAUAAUUAUUACUAUAACUAUUGCUAUUAUUACUAUUAAUAGAAUAAUCUUUUAUCGCAUAGUUAAUCGUGCUAAAAUUUUCCAGCAGUUUUUCUGAAAACGAAUACAUUUAUCAUUUGGUAAAUUAAUCAUUUACAAAAUUCUGUAUAAAGAAAAAUCGAGAGCGAAAGGGUUAACGACAUACUCAGCGAUCUGGAAAGGAUUGAAAAGAUGUGACAUAUCGAAAGAAAGAACAUUGCUGUGGUGGUUACAACUAAGGGAACAGGUGUCAUAUCGUGUGAACAUUGGUCAUCUAAACCUAAAUUCUAAAUCUAGUACAUCUAAAAAACAUAUAAUCACUACGCAUUCACAAGUGUGACAUGUUGUAACUGUUGUUUCGCAAUGUUGAUAGAGUCGUCGUGUUCCUUGGCUGGGUAAAGAGUACGAAGACAGUUGUGUAUAGAGUUAUGAAUAUUUAUACGGAGAGGGAUUUCUGCUUAUCUUUCGUAGAUCUGGCGUAUUAAAACGACGAUCUCUAACCGUGCUCGUCUCAUCGCAAAGCCUUGACCUUUCUUCACAGAAUAAUCAACAAAAGAUUAUGCAACCAUCCUCUUCGCUAAUAUCGCCGAUGGGAGUAAAUGAGAACGGAUUCAGGCGAAAAAUUGCAGUUUUUUCUGGUUUGUUUGAUUAGAGAGUGGAAGACAGCGUGAAACACUGCAUGUUUAUGCAGAUAAUCCGCUAAAAAAUGUCGUGGACGAAAUAAUUUGUCUACGAGAAAUAUUUAUACUUUUAGGAACGAAUUGACUGAACAUCGAUGGGACAGCAUACUAUAUUUUCUAGUUUGUUUUUGUUUUAUACAAUCCUUCACAUGGAAAAAUUCUGAUUGUUUAACGGCAGGCUUGAAUUUCUUUCAGGCGGAUUUUAUGGUAAAAAAAAUUACGUUCUCGCAAUUGUUUAAAGCGCUCGUUUUUUAAGUUUAAACUAGACAUAGAAAAAAUUCAUCGGACUUUUAAAAGGUUUUUAACAAUUCCAGACAGCUCCUUUUUUUAUACCUUAGAAACUGAUAGCUGAAGAAGAAUCAUUACUAUUUUAAACACAACUAAAAAAAAAAAAAAAAACAGUUGAUAGAGAAAACAAUCUUUUAUUGAUUUGUUCAUGGAACAAUAAUACCUGGCUGCUCCUUCUAAUGCUAAAAGUGCAAUCGAACGUGACAAAUUUGCAAAGUUGUUACUAGAAAAAAAAAAGAAGACUCGAUUACGAUGUGUCACGUGUUAUUAUCGUUCUAUUCGUUAAUCCAGAUGCGUACGCGUUGAAUCACAUUUGCGCACCUGCCUUGGACGAUAACAAUUUCGCGCAAUCGUCUCGCAGGAUUACACCAGCGUUGUUGCUCUGUCAGAGCUUUGCAUCUCAUCCAUUAAUAUUAUGGAAUUUACAUAACUCAUUUGUGGACGAACUGGAACCUGCAGUUGAUGGGUAGAUUAACUGGCAUUUUCCUAUCGGCAUACCUUGUAGAAUUUCUACGUGACAAUAUGACAAAGCAAUUUUCCUGUCUGAGAUUAUUUUUCAGCGAACAUUUUUACGUUUUUCUUUUUGGAGAAGAAUAUAGAAGACUGGAGUUGUACGAAGUUUAUAAGGAAAAAAAAAUAUCUUGGAGACACGCAUAGAUUAAACUAAUUCAAGGAUAUAAGGAUUUAAGAAUUCAAGGAUUCAAGCAGAGUUUGAGAACUCAAGAAUUCGAAGAUUCAAUAAUCCGAAGGUUCAACAAAUAAUUCACGUAUUUAAUGGUUCAUGGUUAAUAUAUUUAAUGGUUUAAAGGUUCAAGAAUUCGAAGAUUCGAAGGUUCAAGAAUUCGAGGGUUCGAAGGUUCAAGAAUUCGAGGGUUCAAAGGUUCAAGAAUUCGAAGGUUCAAAGGUUCAAGGAUUCAAGUAUUCAAAGCUUUAAUAAUUCAAUUAGUCAAUGGUUCAGGAAUUGAAAGAUUCGAGAAUUCAAGGGUUCAACGAUAAAGCAUUGAAAGGUUAUUCAAGUGGAAAUAUUUGUAAAGUAUUUCCCUAUAACGACAAUCAUAUCCCCUUGAAAUUUGUACAUUUUUCAUCACUUAACCAUUUGAUUCACAUGUAGAAUCGAAGAUUACAUAUUUAGAUAGAGAUAAAAUUAUACUAGAUACUCAGAUAAAAAUUAACCCCUUGACAAUAUAUCAGAGCAAUUUCGAUAAACGCGUACCGAUUUGACACAGUAAUUUUGUAAAGCGAUAAGAUGAUAGUAAAUGUGAUUAUAACACGCAUUAGUGAAAAUAACAUAACGUCUGAUUAGCCAAAGGUUACUACGCAGUAACAUGCGAUAAAAAAGAUGCGUCCGUUUCUACGUCAAUUUAGCAUUCGUAGAAUUUCAUCUUGUUUAUCGCAAUAAGCUUAAUUGUAAUUAAUUCUAAAACCGAUUUCACAGUGUUAUUUUAUUAUGUGAUUGCGUGUGCGACGUACAGAGAAAAAAGCGUCGCAGAAAAACGUAUUACCGGUGACUUGAAUUUACGUGUAAGGAUGUGGCGUGUAUUACGUUUUAGUGAAUAAAAAGCAAAAGUUCAUAUUACAUACGUAAUUAGUACGAUACUAAAGGUGGUAUUACGAUCUUAGCAGCAAAUACACGAAGUUCCUCCAAUUACUCGGAUUAUUAUUUCCGUUUCGCUUCGCGCUACUCCUUGAUGUAUCAUUAAUAAAUAUUUUUAAUUCCCUAACGCAAUUCCACAAUGAUUGUUAACAACGUGUAUAUGAAGUGAUAUAUUCUCGCGUAAUGUAAUAAACAAUUGAUCGAUGAUUCAGUUGGUAUCGAUUACGUGAAGGAGAAAAACGAUACGCAAGGUAGGAUAUCGAGUAGUUUAAUCGCAAUCCUUUCACCAGAGGAAACAUAACGGGCCACUUUCCGUCAGGUACCAAACAAGACGCGGUUUACCCUGUUUUUAACGCGAUACGCAUCAAUUGAGCCGAGGCCGUGGCAAUUAACGCGCUUCUCGUCGCCUAUCAAGGAGCCAACCUCGAGAAAAACGCACUUGAACCAAUUUGCGACGUGGGAAAACGCGACAGGGUGCAUUUCCCAUCGAUUCCAUCGACAAAUUCUAAAGUGUCGUCAACGGAUAAUAAUUUAAUUAACAGCAUUGGUACCAAUCGAUGGUUUUGUAAAUUCACUUCCAAUUUCUUUCUUAUACGACUUCGUAAAUUAAUUUAUUUAGUUUGGUUUUUCAGACGAGCGAAAGCAAUCUGUCUGCGAGGAUCAGCUCUUCCUCUCUUUCCUUCGAAAUAAAUAGCAGAUAAACCAGAACACAGAGUAAAAUGAGCGAAAGAGUAAAUUUAUUCCUUGCUUCUUACUUUAUUUACAUCUAUCGGUUUACUUGUAACAGAAGUAGUACGAAAGUAACACGACUCACGUAGAAUUAUUCUUUUAGUCUAUUCUUGAAACUGUGCGUAGAGAUUUAUUUGACAACGUGGUUUUGUAGACAGUCUACUUCCUUCUAUUUAUUUAUUGAUACAAGUAUAUAACUAUUUUUCAGGGCAAUUAUUUCUUCUGUAUGUUUUUCGAAACGGCAAAUACAAUAAAUUGAAAUACAGACGUUACCAGGAAGGUUUCUUAUAUCCAUCUGAUAUCCCGAGACGAGUCAAUAAAGGAAGCGAGCGUGGAAUGAUGACACUGAAAGGUUGAGGAAGAAAUUUCUAAACGUAAAAUGAGAUGAACUAGCAAUGCGAAUAUCGAAUAUAGUCGACAGGGAAGAGAGAACGGUUUUACUUGUUCGUUUACAUCAGUUUACAGAAUUGAUUUUCUCUGUUAUAGAAUAAAAAAUAUGAUCAAGGACAACGAAGCGCUUCGAACGUAUUGUGCGUGUGGGACAAACACGUCCUUUGGCGUCGCGCAUACUUCUGUUUUGUUAGGAAAACUUCCUUGACCUGUGACAUCAACUUUUAUCUUCGGGCACGCGGAAAAAAUCAUCGACGUUUAAUUGCGAGAAGGAUGAAAAAAGAAAAAAGGAAGAGAAGAAAAAAUAUCAAAGCUUUCGUUGGCAAUAAGAAGAAAAGGAUUACGGUCCAAUUAAAACACGAUCUUUCCUCGUAAACAAGCAACUUCAUGCUUCACCGUUCGUAGAUAAAACAGUCGCGUAUUGAAUUAUCGAUACAACGUACUCAAUCAUUUUUCUCGAUAAUAGUUCGCCUGUUAUUGACACUGGUCACAUGUUUUGCUAACUUGUUGUUUGAACUGUUGACUCAUCGAUAUUUUUUUUCUCUGUUAUCAUGAAUUUAUCGAUUUCGAUAGCCUUGGAAUUAAUUAGACUUCACUUUUUAGUUGGCGUAGUGUCGUCGUUAACGAUAGAUAAUUGACAAAACGGCACGCGAAUGGGUCGAGGCCUCUCCGCAAGAACCAGUUGGUCUGGAAACGAGUUCGUGAGAAUCGGAGAACAGUUAUGCACGACCGAUCUGAGGAAAAAUCGUGAAACGUCAACACCACUCGCUAUGCGUUCAAGAGGCACCAUUAUAGUAUCGCGUUUCAGGAAAAGAUUCUUCUGGAUUAAAAAUAGAUGCAAUAAAAAUAAAUGGAAAACGAUUUUAUGAGUAAGAGAGGAUUUUCUCAGAACGUUAAAAGUCUCUUUAUUGGAACGAGACUAAUAUUAAUAAUAUAUAUAUAUAUAUAUAUCACAUUCUAACGCAAUAUACAACAUAAUAACAUGUUAUAUAUAUAUAGUAUCGUAAACUAUUAUGAUUAGUUUAUCAAUAAUAAAUGGAUUAAACAGAUGUUAAUUAAACAGAAAACAAUGGUUAUUUAACAUGAACCAAUCACAACAACGUAUUAUAAUUAAAACAACUAAAUAAUUAAUUAACAAUUCUUGUCAACGCAAAUUCAACUAUCUUCUAACCCCUUAACCUACGAUUUACGUUCGAGAAUUUUGGGCCGAAAACCGGGAAGGGGGUGAUUCUACGCGAAAAAAGAAGUCGAAAAUAUAGAAUAAAAAAAUUUUUUUUUUUUAAUUUUUCCCUCGAGACAACGAUCUACAGUGAGAUCCGUUAUAACGUACCGCACGCGUACCGAGCGAAAAUUCAAAGUCGAUUUUCUCGAAAACAAAGCCUCAAACGAAAAAUUUUUAUUCUAUAUUUUCGACUUCUUUUUUCGCGUAGAAUCACCCCCUUUCCGCUUGUACCACCAGUUACCAACCACCCUGUAUAUUAUAUUUGGCCCGAUCAUCGUAUACGGGCUAUGCCCGUAGUUGUAGGUUAAGGGGUUAACAACGCUAACAACACUAUCUCGACAACACAAUUCGCACUCUCUGACUUCUCAACUCAUAUCGCUGUUAAUUCGUUUAUUGUCCCCUAGCAACCCCUUGUCUUUUGUCUUAGCUUCGCUACGCACAUGCUCACCAACCGCUUGUUUAUAAUUCACACCUCAGCAACCGCUUAUUUACAAUCCGCAUGACACCCCCUAGGCCCCUCGUCCACGAUAUAUAUAUAUAUAUAAAACAUAUAGUAUUACAUAAAGUGUACGUGAAAUAUUAUAAAACAACUGCGAGUGGUAUAAUCGAGUCAUUCGGAAGCCACAUGAUCUGCAUGAAUUGAAAAGUACAGAAAAGUGGACUAAACUGCGGAUUUCUAUGCAUUUGCAGAAAAAUUCAAAAGCGCAAAAUUGUACAAAAUGUACGUAAUACGAGAAAGUAUAUAAAAGAUCCAAAAUACAUUUCUUUUUGUAAUUUUCCAUAGGUGAAACAAUCUCUAAAAUUAUAUUUUCGAAAACAUGAAUUUGCACAAAAAUUCGCUGCCCAGUUAUGGCAUUGUGUCGUUACCUCAGAAUUUUCGUUAUUAAAAUUUACGACAUCUUUCUCGGAAUGAAUCAAGUCAUUUGUUUCUUAAGUGAACGUUAAUCGUUUAUCGCGUGUAUCAUAUGUAAUGAAAUUAUAUUAUUAUAUAUAAUAAAAAAAAAAAAAAACAGAACAAAAGGUGGAAUCAAUCGGUUUCGCUCGCGAAAGAUCCGAUUAGAGACUACAAGCUGUAAAUAUACAGCGAUGUUCAAACGCCAAGUUCGACUAAUAAUUAUUAUUCUUCGUUGCUCGAUCUCGUGUUAUCUCAAUUUGAAAUGCAGAUCUUCUUAGCAUAUAUCGAGAUAUGAUCGCUGGAGUAGAUUAAUCGAUGUCAUAACAAGAUUUUUUACGUUGUGGGAGACGAACACCGCUAUGCUCAUCUCGCUAUGCGUCACCUCGACACACGAUAACCGAGGUCGUGGCAGCAAUCGAGAUGCAAGCCGAAAAAGUAUUUAAGAUGACGCGUGUUCACGCGUACGUAAGGUCGAUCGGAGUUGACGUUAUGUCUACGAGAUAUAUAUUUAUUUUAUAUGUAUAAUAUAUUAUAUCUAUUUUAGAGAUCGAGCAACGUUUCAGUUAAUCUGCGAAAUCACGCGACUUCGUCUGUGAAAUUUUUCGAAAUAAAAAAUUCUUCCGUAUUUGUGCGUGUGCGUCGCACGUUAUAUAAUGUUGCGAGGCCGACUUCCACUUUGGAUCGACUCGACGAGUUCGAGAGAGGAUAGAAGUUGUUUAUAAUGUAAAUUUCGGUGCAACAAGUAGAUUGUCGAGUUUUUACGAUUCGCAGGAAGAAGCAAGUGAGCAUUUCCAUAGUCGUUUCUUAGGAAUUCGUAAACAGUUUCUUCCCCUUUGUAUGUUUAUAGCGUAUACGUGCGUAAAUAACAAGUAAUACAUUUUAGAAAUUGGACAUUAUCUGAUUACGCUAUUUCAUAUGAAAACGCGCCAACGUUAUGAGAGUAAAGUGUUGUGCAAGUUACGGUCACUUAAGAAAACAACGUUCAAAGACCAGAAAAUUUGGAAGAAGUUCUUUUCUUUCUAUGACAAGUGUUCGAAUACUUUAGAGGACCAAUGUUAUUCUCCUACAUCUUCGCUUUCACGCCACAGACCUAUAUAUUCUCCGGCAUUUAAAAACCCAUAAAAGACAUUGUACUGUAUUUUUAACCCCAGAGUGGCGCGCCACGAGAGUGACUUGGUGGUUUCUGGCGCAGAAGGACGCCACGAUCUCGAUUUAGGAUCUCUCCCCUCGUGAAUUUUUCCAGAUGUACACGCGACCUCGGGAUUUCACACGACGAACGAUGCACGAGACAUCGAUCGUACGCCUUUUUCUCGUUUUGCUUCUUCAUCGGGCAUAUAAUGGGCGCCGUUUCGCCCACGUACUUUCAACGAGGACAAGUCGGUUUCUCUCGAUGAAUUUCCCAUCUUCGUUUUAUGUAAGUCGUCGGUCUAUCGACCGUCGUCGUUGACGCGUGACUUUUCUACUCGUGUACAAAUCUUACAUUAAAACUUCAGACCAGUACAACGUGUGUCACGGCACGCGAUAAUUUAUGCGCGAGUAGACACGUUUCGCGUAGUCCUUCGUUAUAUUAUAUAUUGAUUUUUGCAAAUUUUUUCUCAUUAAUAACUUACGAAACAAAAGUUUUCGAGAUGCCAUUCUGAAAGGAUUAAUCAAUAUAUUCUCUUAUUUUUCGACGAUAUUAUCGAUUGGCGAAGUCUUAGGCCAGUUUUUGCGACAUUCUACCCGAACAAGGAAUUUUGUACAAUUUUUUAGGCAUAGUGCAGAAUUUAUUAUCUCACCGACAGCAUCCUCGAGGAAUGUUGGAACACGUACUUCAGAAUCGGACAGGAAUUGACGAUCAUGAUGUUAUCAACGCUCAACUUCCAACCACAAUCGAAUUAUUUCUUCUUCGAAUUAGUCUGAUUUUCUAUUAUCAUAAUCUUGCGCUAUGUGUUCGCUUCAACAAUCGUAACGAUACGGAGGUUCUUUAAGAAUAUGUUUCCUUCGAUGAAUUCAUUGAUCAAUCAUCAAUCAUCAACUAAGUAAUCACGAACGUCUGAGUAAAUGAACUCGUGACGCGACAAAAUCCUCCUUUCUGCUUCACAGCACUUUAACGUCUAAACCGAUCACCUUGUAAGAUCCCCUAAGACGAAAAAUCCAAAUAAUCAUCGAUCGAGGAAUCAUCUUCCAGCAUCGUUUACCAAUCGAUUCUCGACAAUUUAUAAAUUCACGCACACACCGUUCGCGUUAAACGAUUUAAAUUGACAAGAUUGACAAAACUUUGCGAACGUUUCCUCUGCGGCUAUUCUCAAAUCUGGAAAAUCUGCAAACUUCGCGAUUUUAAGUUUCCGAAGUUUCGCCGAUUUUCAUAUUUUCCUACUUGUUUGGUACUCUCGUUGGAAGAAAAUUGCUUGCAAGGUCUGCACGACGUCGAAAAGAUGGAGAAUCCGACCGAUCCGAUGAUUCGUUCGAUACUGAGCCUGAAAAUGGGCAUUCGAAUGAGUCUCUCUCUUUCUCUCUCUUCAAAUGACCAUCGAGCUUGGUAAAAAAUCUUUCGACGACCGGCUUACUUCGUCUUUCCUUUCCUUUAAUGUCAAGUACAAGCGCGAAUCCUGCCGGGUGUAUCUCUCGAGGGACUCGCGGCGUCCUCGACGGUAUUAUUCCUGAUCGUCCUUCGCUGCAACGCUGACAAUGAUGAGGUUUUGCUCAUAAAUCGACCGAUUUUUCCGCCUGUCAUUUUCGAAGGUUCUGUUAUCAUCUUUUCUCUUUUUCUUUUUUCUUCUUCUUCGCUUUUCCUUCUUCUUCUUCAUUCACCCCAUUGUGAUAAGUCUCGGUGUCUUUUGUUUUUAACGCGAAGAAACUGUCAAAACUGUCAUUCUCCGCCAGAAUAAUUAUUCAUCUUACAGAACCAAUUUUUAUCACUAUAAUUCCACCAGCAAAAAAUUAAUCUUCCUUUGCACCGACUCGAAAAGAAAGAACGGUUUACAAAAGAUCGUUUAACUGUUCUCAUUCAGGGCAAAUUACGCUCCAUACGCAAAGUGUCGACUCGAAAGAAUCGAGAGAAAGAGAGAGAGAGAGAGCACAAUUAGUUACGCUAGCUCGAAUUCCAACGAAGAUAAUUAAAUCACGAAUCUGCCUCGUUUAAUUUUACGAUAUACUUUGGCUAGAACGCGUCGAGAAUACACGUAAUCGUCAUUCGUUUUGAUACAAGGAAACAAAACGAGAAUUCGUGAAGCAAGGAAUAUGGAUUGAGCCGAAAAUCAGAAUGUAAAUGUAAAUUAUAGCGAUUUAAGAUGUAAAUGAAAACGAAGGCUCAUCAUUCAGCGUGGUUUAACGAACGUUUAUAAAUACCAGGAGAUCUAGACACGCGUUAGAUUUCUUGCUCGAUCGAGUGUUUUUAUAGAUUUCUUCGCUCGUUCUAACGACUACUAUCAUCUGAAUUAAUGACAUAAUUGCGACUGCUAUUAUAAUAGUUUACAUUUUUCUUCCUUCGUUACCAACAAAUACAAACACGGUUAAUUGAAAUCUGAAUACCACGAGACUGUACCAGUCGAUAGACGUCUCCGAUGAGUGUAAAAAGGAAACUAGAGAGAAGCAGAGAGAAAGAGAUAGAGAGAGAGAGAGAGAGAGUUUUGACGCAUAUACUCGCCGAGUAAAAAAUUACUGCACUCUUCGAUCGAAACGUUUUAUCCAUAAUUUUUGAGGCAGUAAGUUUUAGUUUAGUUCUCUAUUGAAUCAUUUUCUACAAUCUACUUUUUAUAACGAGUAUCGCAUCGUAUACAUUCUCGGAACUUUUCAUGGAAAUAACGAACAUUUUCACGAUCGUUUUAGAGAAAUCUGGAUGUAAUAGAGCCAACUGCGAGAAAUUGUAAUAAUCACAGAAGAGUCGCAGUGACUAAAUUUACAACGACAGGCGCAUUGUAAUCAAAGUUGACCAAUUAGGUCGACUUCCUCUUAUAAACGAGAUGAACGCGUUCGUCGAGUUUUAUGUGCGCGAAAUUAUGUAAUUUAACAAUAAAGUACGAUCUUGUUUGCGCGUGUACGUGGUCAAAAUACGUACGAAAUAAGUACGAUCUUCUGUUCGCAGCGUCGCUACAAUCAGGUUUAAUUUCCGUCAUUACGAGACUGCUUCUAGAAAUGUAGAAGCAUUUCUUCUUUCAAAGUAGAUCUGAACAUGUAUGUUAGAUUUAUAAACGAAUCUUUUUAUCUUCGCGACAAAGUCUACAAAAUCAACAGAUAUUUUAUUCUUUGACACGUUGAGUGCCACAUGGCUCUCGUAUGCUCCACGUCUCGCUCAAGUCGUUAAUAUUUCCAGUGUAUAGGGAACAAGUGUUGAGCGAGCUGAAUAUUAAUUCGCAAAUAACUGUAACAGUCCAAGAUUAAAAUAGUUUCCACAAAACGCACUGCAUCAUGAUGAACGCCUCUCUUCCUUAAUUUACGACCUCCGUGCCAUACGUACAAGGAACGUAACACAAGUUUCUAUUUCAUUUGAAAAACGAUGAUGCAAUUUCGCUCGUAUCCUUGCGCUCGAGAGAUUGCAGAAUUUACGACUACUUUGCUUUAUUGCGAAAACAUAAUAUAUUCGUUAGGUCAACAAACCUUCUCUACUUCGAUAAUUUCCUUUAAUUUUGUUGCUCGUUCUAUUUAAAUUUCCAAAACCUCCGUUCAUUUCCUCGUACUUAGGAAACCAUUAGGAAAAAAAGUCAGAAAACACGUUAGAUAACGUUGACGAGAAACGUAUUAGUACGUCUUGUGCUAAUCGAGCGUUGUUUCUAGUUAGUUUCUGUCGUAAAAUUCGGUGAUUAAUGCAAAUCGAGCUGUUAUUUCAAUCAAAAAUAGCCCGAUGAAUUAUACGACAUUUCGUCAAGCAACGUCUACAAUCUCCAAGAUAUAUGGUCGAGCAGAAAACAACAAUACAUUGAUAGGAAAAGCUGCGUAGUACGUCGGCACGCGAAGCCAAGGUAAACUUCCUCGUCGUGUUCCGCUACGAUUAUCAUAGAAAUAGUUGGGUAUUUAGCGUAGAAAUUAUGGGAAUAAUAAACGAACUGGAAGAAAUGAAAAGUCGAUUAUGUGCGUUGAUUUGGUUGGUCUCGGUGCGAAGAUCUCGUUUUCUCAAUGAAACAUAUCCUUCUGUAUACAUAAAACUUAGAUGUAGUUCGAAGUGUAGUCUUUUCACGAAGGAAGUGUUUUUUGAGGAAAGCUCGUUAGAACCGAUCGAUUCUUUCAGUAUCUCCUUUCAUCUUUGAUACACUACAACUUCUUCGAAAAUCAACUAAUAAGAUCUCUUGCCAUCCUUAAAAUACUACUUCUUCAAAAAUCAGCCAAUAGGAUCUUUCUUCGUCUUUAAAACGCUGUAACUUUUGUUGAAAUCGAUCGAUUACGAUGAAUUUCUGCCAAAAGAAUUUGUUUUCCGCAAAUAGAAAGAUUUCGGAAAAUGUUCAUCGUAAUAAGCAAAUUUUUGUUGAAGCAAAGAAACUGUAAUUUCUUUCCAACAACCGACGAACAAGAAACAUCCUUGCAAUUUUCCCUUUUCUCUCUACGAAGACAGUUCGAGGAACGAGAUGCAUCGCGAAUUUUCUUCUUCUAGCCGCUCUUUCGUUUUAUUUUAACCACGCAAACACGCGUAAGCGAGCGUUCGCGUAUUGAAACGCGUGCCAGAUGAACGUCGAAAUGAUCGUUAAAACGGAAAAACGUCGUUAUCUGUCCGCAUGGACGUGUUUAAUGCUUCAACAUUUUGGCGUAUUUAACGCGUUUGACGCCGCUCUAUUGAUCGGCCUGUUUUUUCUUUCCGAAGGUAGGUUGAUCUUCACUGGACGAGUUCGAAUUCUCAUUUGAAGCUGUAGCGAUAUACGACAAAGAGAAUUUUUAGCACUUGAUUUGUAGCUAUUAACGGAACGUUGUUUAAGUUGCUGGUUCACGGAUUCUUGAAGAUUCGAGAUUUUGAAAAGCGUGGGUUACUCGUAUUUACCUGAGCCUCGAUGGUACUGGUUAAAUGGAAUACUUGCGCCUCUGUUAUUCUUUGGAUCAUUUCGAUCGUCUGAUACGUCAGAGAGGUUGCACGAAGCUGUCUGACGCGAGAAUUAACGAGCACUGAGGAAAACUUGGAAGGACCUUGGUUAAUGAGCUACGUAUUAAAUGGGCGAGAGAGAUCUUCUACGGAAAUGAAUUUAAACGAUGUUCGACGGAAAUAUUUGCAUUUGUGAAUACACGACGAAACGUAUCAUAAUAAGAGUCCAGUAAGCGUAAAAACAUAUAAUAUGUAACAAAAAUAUAUAUACAAAAUUUACUGAAAAAUGAAUAAUUUACAAAAGGAAACCUUCUUAUUGAAUUGGGAGGAAAAUUGUGUUCUCAUUCUAGGAUUUAUUUUUAAAAUUAUUUUUAAUUCUCUUAAAAAAAAAAUUGUUCUUCAAAAAUGUACAUAUUCGUUGUAAAAAUAGACAAAAUAUAUAGUUAAUUAAUGUUUGCCUACCGAUUACAAAAUGAGAUUGCUUUCUAAGAAAAGAAAAGUGGGGGAGAUAAAUGUGCUAAAGUAAUUAGCGAGGGAAAGUGAGAGAACUGUGAAAGAUGUUCGAAAACAACCCCCUGCUAGCUUGGACAAUUUAUUCUCUUAUAGGAUCAGCCAGCAAUUGGACACCCAAAAUGGGUGAGGUCCAAUUUUUUCUUUCCUUUCAACUCUCGGACGAGCUCCACCCUUCGUUCUGGGCUAUCCUUCAUGAAGCGACUAGUUAAUUCAUGCCACAGGGUCCCCGUUUCCAGUUACUUACUCGUUCGUGAACAAGCAAAAUACGAGCUGCGCAUUACAUCGCGACACAUAAAAGGGGGAUGAUUUAAAGAGCUAGUAGAAAAUAAAUUUCACUUCAACUCUUUACGAAUAAAUAGCAUUUCCAAAUUAAUCCACAUAUAUUCUCUUAUUAUAUAUUCUCUAUUAAUCAAGAUUAUUCUCUUUUCCGGAGGAUCAUUUUGUCUGUGUAAUUCCUCCUUUACGAAAUCAUUCGAAAAGACGUACCUCUACCAUUUUUCUCGCUGGAUAAGGAAAAAAGAGAUUUCGUCCUACAAGAUUUAUUGAUUAACGUAAUCGAUUUAUAUCCUCAAGAAAAAAGUAAAAUUUAAACAGAGAAAAAGCGAUAUUGUCUCGCGGAACAUAACGACAAAGAGUCGAAACACAUUCGGUUUAUUUUUCUCACGAAGGAAACAGCUUUCCUCGAGUAAGUAGAACGCUCUCAGGAGCACGUACUCUCUUUACAAAGGGGAACCCCACCCCUUGUUUACUGCAACCUUUUUACGCUUCAUACCCCAAUAAGUAUUUUUAAUGCGAAAAAUGUUAAAUGUCAGCCAUUCUUCUGUCUGCCUCGCGAUUUCCAUUAGCCUGUGAUUCGCCUAGCGUGUCGAUUUUCCAUGUGCGCGAGAAACCACCCCUUCUCACGGUCGAGCCAUCGCCGCAGACCGCGCCCCUAGCGCGUGUACGAGCGUCGCGGCUGUAAAAGCCAGCGUGUAUAGUUAUUCGUUAUUGCAUAACUUUCGUCAGAGAUUGGCCGGGUUCGAGCGUAGUUAGUAUAUCGAACGAAGCCGGAUUCUGUGAAAGGUGGACCUAGGCGCGGCCAAGGACCGGUUGCACGUAAACACAACCGAGCUGCUGCUAUAAUAUCUUUCUAACUGUGACAUAUGCUAAUUGUGUGCACCGGUGGAUAAUUUUCUGCACAUGUCAUCGCUAUAUACAACAUACGUUUGACACACGUUUGGAUUUUUGUUACAUUGCUCAUGCGAGAAAAGAAGGAAAUUCUUGAAAGAGACAGCACGAUGCUUGAACUUGGGGGAUGAUGUUCGAAUACCAACUUUAAAAACUGGCAUAAUCGGUGAACUUUUUGCAACCAAGAUAAUUGACACAAACUUUUUAGCGUUUGAUAGAAAGUCCUGAAAUUAAGGUAUGUAGAGAGACAAUCUUUUUUUGCGAAUUAAGUUUCAUCGCGGUUAAAUCACAUCGCUGGUGAAACAGAUAGUUUCAUCAACUUUACAUUAUGGAAAAUUUGUGGUUCCUGGUGAGAGACAUAGAAAACGGGUCGAAGAAAGUUACGUCGUUUUGUCGAAUCGUAGGAAAGCAGUUGGAUUCUCUUUCCUUUCUUUUCUGUUUCGCUCCAGUGACGAAGAAAAAGAGUUUAUUUAGUUAGCAUAUUGAUCAUAUCUCGUACAAGCUUCUAAACAAUCUUAACAUCCCAUCUUUGAGGCGCUACAUUCGAAUCGAAUUUGAAAGCAAGGACAUAUUCACAAACUUUUCCCAAAGGUAUCGAAACCAGCAAAUUUGGAACAUUUUAGUUAAAAACUUUUAUUAUCGACGAUAUAUUUUGGAGUAAACUCGCUGCCAGAAAUGUUUAAAACGCUCAAAUUUUUAAAUCGCGAGUGGAAAAAUAUGCCGGAAUAUUUUUUAUUGAUUUUCUGAUUUUGACACGUUUAAAGAGAGAAGUAAUCUGUCAGAUCCACAGAUACAAGAGAAAUAGGUGCCACCAAAUGAUGUUGCGUACAAAAAAAUCAACGUCAACCAUAACUCAUAUUAAUCUACAAUCGAUAUUUUUGGAUUAUAUUCUCAAGAGGAUAACAAAAACACGCAUAUUUAAUCUGCACAACCAAAUAAAAAUAUGAUUCGAAUAUAUGGAUAUAAUAAUUUGAAAUUAGCCGAGAGUAUUCUGAACUUUAAUUUCAUAAAAAGACAAACGUGAUUUUUUACGGAUCUACGUAUCCCCCCGUAAUAUUUUCCUAAAUAUUAUACACAGAUAAAAAAAGAAAAAGAAAA